CACGUGAGCAACCUACCCUUGACACUGGGAUAACAGUUGGAAACAGCUGCUAAUACCGGAUACGAACUCAGCAGGCAUCUGCCGAGUUGGAAAGCUCCGACGGUCAAGGAUGGGCUCGCGGCCUGUCAGCUUGUUGGUGAGGUAACGGCUCACCAAGGCGACGACGGGUAGCCGGCCUGAGAGGGCGACCGGCCACACUGGGACUGAGAUACGGCCCAGACUCCUACGGGAGGCAGCAGUGGGGAAUAUUGCGCAAUGGGCGAAAGCCUGACGCAGCAACGCCGCGUGCGGGAUGACGGCCUUCGGGUUGUAAACCGCUUUCAGCAGGGACGAAACUGACGGUACCUGCAGAAGAAGCACCGGCUAACUACGUG
rnacentral:rRNA from 1 species